rnacentral:rRNA from 1 species
AUUGAACGCUGGCGGCAGGCCUAACACAUGCAAGUCGAGCGAGCGGCGGACGGGUGAGUAAUGGAGGGGGAUCUGGCCGAUAGAGGGGGCUAACGACGAGAAAAGGUGGCUAAUACCGCAUAAUAUGGGAUGAAGCCACAUGGGAUUAGCUAGUCGGUGAGGUAAAGGCUCACCUAGGAGACGAGCCCUAGCUGGUCUGAGAGGAUGAGCAGCCACACUGGGACUGAGACACGGCCCAGACUCCUACGGGAGGCAGCAGUGGGGAAUAUUGCACAAUGGGCGAAAGUCUGAUGCAGCAAUGCCGCGUGUAUGAAGAAGGCCUUAGGUUUGUAAAGUACUUUCAUCAGGGAGGCGUUACCGACCGAAGAAGCACCGGCUAACUCCGUGCCAGCAGCCGCGGUAAUUC